GGUGGCUCAGUGGUAGAGUGCUUGCCUGGGAUGCAUGGGGCACUGGGUUCGCUCCCCAGCACCA
rnacentral:tRNA from 1 species